AACGAACGCUGGCGGCAUGCCUAACACAUGCGAGUCGAACGAGACCUUCGGGUCUAGUGGCGCACGGGUGCGUAACGCGUGGGAACCUGCCCUUAGGUUCGGAAUAACUCCCCGAAAGGGGUGCUAAUACCGGAUAAUGUCUUCGGACCAAAGAUUUAUCGCCUUUGGAUGGGCCCGCGUUGGAUUAGCUAGUUGGUAGGGUAAAAGCCUACCAAGGCGACGAUCCAUAUCUGGUCUGAGAGGAUGAUCAGCCACACUGGGACUGAGACACGGCCCAGACUCCUACGGGAGGCAGCAGUGGGGAAUAUUGGACAAUGGGCGAAAGCCUGAUCCAGCAAUGCCGCGUGAGUGAUGAAGGCCUUAGGGUUGUAAAGCUCUUUUACCCGGGAUGAUAAUGACAGUACCGGGAGAAUAAGCUCCGGCUAACUCCGUG
rnacentral:rRNA from 1 species